rnacentral:rRNA from 1 species
GGGUUGUGAGGUUAAGCGACUAAGCGUACACGGUGGAUGCCCUGGCAGUCAGAGGCGAUGAAGGGCGUGCUAAUCUGCGAUAAGCGCCGGUAAGGUGAUAUGAACCGUUAUAACCGGCGAUACCCGAAUGGGGAAACCCAGUGUGAUUCGUCACACUAUCAUUAACUGAAUCCAUAGGUUAAUGAGGCGAACCGGGGGAACUGAAACAUCUAAGUACCCCGAGGAAAAGAAAUCAACCGAGAUUCCCCCAGUAGCGGCGAGCGAACGGGGAGGAGCCCAGAGCCUGAAUCAGCAUGUGUGUUAGUGGAAGCGUCUGGAAAGGCGCGCGAUACAGGGUGACAGCCCCGUACACAAAAGCGCAUGUGCUGUGAGCUCGAUGAGUAGGGCGGGACACGUGGUAUCCUGUCUGAAUAUGGGGGGACCAUCCUCCAAGGCUAAAUACUCCUGACUGACCGAUAGUGAACCAGUACCGUGAGGGAAAGGCGAAAAGAACCCCGGCGAGGGGAGUGAAAAAGAACCUGAAACCGUGUACGUACAAGCAGUGGGAGCCCCACCACUAAGCCAGUGGUGAACUCCACAUACGCAUCCUUUGCUGAGGAUACGGUUAACGGAGCGAAAGCGACGUUCAACCGCAAAAGAAGCAGAGGGGGCUUAGUGGUGGGGUGACUGCGUACCUUUUGUAUAAUGGGUCAGCGACUUAUAUUCUGUAGCAAGGUUAACCGAAUAGGGGAGCCGGAGGGAAACCGAGUCUUAAUUGGGCGUUAAGUUGCAGGGUAUAGACCCGAAACCCGGUGAUCUAGCCAUGGGCAGGUUGAAGGUUGGGUAACACUAACUGGAGGACCGAACCGACUAAUGUUGAAAAAUUAGCGGAUGACCUGUGGUUGGGGGUGAAAGGCCAAUCAAACCGGGAGAUAGCUGGUUCUCCCCGAAAGCUAUUUAGGUAGCGCCUCGUGAAUUCAUCUCCGGGGGUAGAGCACUGUUUCGGCUAGGGGGCCAUCCCGGCUUACCAACCCGAUGCAAACUGCGAAUACCGGAGAAUGUUAUCACGGGAGACACACGGCGGGUGCUAACGUCCGUCGUGAAGAGGGAAACAACCCAGACCGCCAGCUAAGGUCCCAAAGUCAUGGUUAAGUGGGAAACGAUGUGGGAAGGCCCAGACAGCCAGGAUGUUGGCUUAGAAGCAGCCAUCAUUUAAAGAAAGCGUAAUAGCUCACUGGUCGAGUCGGCCUGCGCGGAAGAUGUAACGGGGCUAAACCAUGCACCGAAGCUGCGGCAGCGAACGUAUCACUUAAAGCGAUUCAGCGGGUUACGAUUGACGGAGCGAAGCGACGUCAAAGCGUAUACAAAGUCGAGUCGGUUUAAGGAUACGUUCGUUGGGUAGGGGAGCGUUCUGUAAGCCUGUGAAGGUGGCCUGUGAGGGUUGCUGGAGGUAUCAGAAGUGCGAAUGCUGACAUAAGUAACGAUAAAGCGGGUGAAAAGCCCGCUCGCCGGAAGACCAAGGGUUCCUGUCCAACGUUAAUCGGGGCAGGGUGAGUCGACCCCUAAGGCGAGGCCGAAAGGCGUAGUCGAUGGGAAACGGGUUAAUAUUCCCGUACUUGGUGUUACUGCGAAGGGGGGACGGAGAAGGCUAUGUUGGCCGGGCGACGGUUGUCCCGGUUUAAGCGUGUAGGUGUGUGUUCCAGGUAAAUCCGGUUCACUUUAACACUGAGGCGUGAUGACGAGGCACUACGGUGCUGAAGCAACAAAUGCCCUGCUUCCAGGAAAAGCCUCUAAGCAUCAGGUAACAUCAAAUCGUACCCCAAACCGACACAGGUGGUCAGGUAGAGAAUACCAAGGCGCUUGAGAGAACUCGGGUGAAGGAACUAGGCAAAAUGGUGCCGUAACUUCGGGAGAAGGCACGCUGACAUGUAGGUGAAGUGAUUUACUCAUGGAGCUGAAGUCAGUCGAAGAUACCAGCUGGCUGCAACUGUUUAUUAAAAACACAGCACUGUGCAAACACGAAAGUGGACGUAUACGGUGUGACGCCUGCCCGGUGCCGGAAGGUUAAUUGAUGGGGUCAGCGCAAGCGAAGCUCCUGAUCGAAGCCCCGGUAAACGGCGGCCGUAACUAUAACGGUCCUAAGGUAGCGAAAUUCCUUGUCGGGUAAGUUCCGACCUGCACGAAUGGCGUAAUGAUGGCCAGGCUGUCUCCACCCGAGACUCAGUGAAAUUGAACUCGCUGUGAAGAUGCAGUGUACCCGCGGCAAGACGGAAAGACCCCGUGAACCUUUACUAUAGCUUGACACUGAACAUUGAGCCUUGAUGUGUAGGAUAGGUGGGAGGCUUUGAAGUGUGGACGCCAGUCUGCAUGGAGCCGACCUUGAAAUACCACCCUUUAAUGUUUGAUGUUCUAACGUGGACCCGUAAUCCGGGUUGCGGACAGUGUCUGGUGGGUAGUUUGACUGGGGCGGUCUCCUCCUAAAGAGUAACGGAGGAGCACGAAGGUUGGCUAAUCCUGGUCGGACAUCAGGAGGUUAGUGCAAUGGCAUAAGCCAGCUUGACUGCGAGCGUGACGGCGCGAGCAGGUGCGAAAGCAGGUCAUAGUGAUCCGGUGGUUCUGAAUGGAAGGGCCAUCGCUCAACGGAUAAAAGGUACUCCGGGGAUAACAGGCUGAUACCGCCCAAGAGUUCAUAUCGACGGCGGUGUUUGGCACCUCGAUGUCGGCUCAUCACAUCCUGGGGCUGAAGUAGGUCCCAAGGGUAUGGCUGUUCGCCAUUUAAAGUGGUACGCGAGCUGGGUUUAGAACGUCGUGAGACAGUUCGGUCCCUAUCUGCCGUGGGCGCUGGAGAACUGAGGGGGGCUGCUCCUAGUACGAGAGGACCGGAGUGGACGCAUCACUGGUGUUCGGGUUGUCAUGCCAAUGGCACUGCCCGGUAGCUAAAUGCGGAAGAGAUAAGUGCUGAAAGCAUCUAAGCACGAAACUUGCCCCGAGAUGAGUUCUCCCUGAGACUUUAGGUCUCCUGAAGGAACGUUGAAGACGACGACGUUGAUAGGCCGGGUGUGUAAGCGCAGCGAUGCGUUGAGCUAACCGGUACUAAUGAACCGUGAGGCUUAACCUUACAACGCCGAAG